rnacentral:rRNA from 1 species
UACGAAGGGGCUAGCGUUGCUCGGAAUGACUGGGCGUAAAGGGCGCGUAGGCGGCUCAUACAGUCAGGCGUGAAAUUCCUGGGCUCAACCUGGGGACUGCGCUUGAGACGUGUGGGCUUGAGUGGGGAAGAGGGUCGUGGAAUUCCCAGUGUAGAGGUGAAAUUCGUAGAUAUUGGGAAGAACACCGGUGGCGAAGGCGGCGACCUGGUCCUUGACUGACGCUGAGGCGCGAAAGCGUGGGGAGCAAACAGG